rnacentral:rRNA from 1 species
AUGGUGGCGGCGGCUCGGCCAAGUGGUUCAGAGACGCCGAGGGGGAGUGCUAGGGAUGAGACUAGGGGGAAGGAUAGGCAAAAUCAGAGUUCGCAAGAUGUGCGGAAUCAGGCAGAGGAAGAUGAGGAGGAGUAUGGCGAUUACUAUGGCCCCGAUCCAGAUCUGGAAGACCAAUUUGCGGGGAUGAAGUUGCAUGGGCGGGAGGAGGAGGAGCUUGAUUUCUCGGAAGAAGUGGAUGAACUCAUCAAGGAUGUGCGCUGGCUGGCCCUGUUCCGCGUCCACACCAUGAAGCCUUUCAGCCAUGCCGCGCUAAUGACACAGAUGCGUAAUGCGUGGGCGGCGGCACAAGGGGUUACCUUCAAUGUCAAAGGCCCGAAUUUGUUCCUAGUUCAAUGUCAUUGCUUAGGCGACUGGAAGAAGAUCAUGGAAGGGGGGCCGUGGUUGUUUCGGAGGGCUCCGGUGGUACUACAGGAAUACGAUGGCUUUUCAGAUGUCAAAGGGUAUAGACUAAACAAGAUACCGGUGUGG